UACGAAGGGUGCAAGCGUUGCUCGGAAUUAUUGGGCGUAAAGGGGAGGUAGGUGGUCUCGUUUGUCCGGGGUGAAACCCCCAGGCUUAACUUGGGAAGUGCCUCGGAAACGGCGAGACUAGAGUACUGGAGAGGGUAGCGGAAUUCCCGGUGUAGCGGUGAAAUGCGUAGAGAUCGGGAGGAACACCAGAUGCGAAGGCGGCUACCUGGACAGUUACUGACACUAAACUCCGAAAGCGUGGGGAUCAAACAGG
rnacentral:rRNA from 1 species